UGUCGAUGAAGAGCGCAGCCAACUGUGUGAAUUAAUGUGAACUGCAUACUGCUUUGAGCAUCGACAUCUUGAACGCAUAUUGCGGCCAUGGGUUUUCCUGUGGCCACGCCUGUCCGAGGGUCG
rnacentral:rRNA from 1 species